rfam:Anaerolineae bacterium CG2_30_58_95 cg2_3.0_scaffold_11630_c, whole genome shotgun sequence.
GUAACCCUGCUGUGUGCGUGAUGCUGCGCCCACGGUUUUGAGCCAACACUUACAAAAAGGGUCUCCAUCUUACAGCGACGACGCGAUAGGCUUGAGCCAAGGCGGAGUCUCUGGGUCGAGACCCACCUGCGAAAGCAGGUUCAAAACUUUGCAGCACACGGCAUGGCGGGGUAUUG